rnacentral:rRNA from 1 species
CCUACGGGAGGCAGCAGUGGGGAAUAUUGCACAAUGGGGGAAACCCUGAUGCAGCGACGCCGCGUGAGUGAAGAAGUAUUUCGGUAUGUAAAGCUCUAUCAGCAGGGAAGAAAUAGCGACCUUUGGGUCGCCAGACGGUACCUGACUAAGCAGCCCCGGCUAACUACGUGCCAGCAGCCGCGGUAAUACGUAGGGGGCAAGCGUUAUCCGGAUUUACUGGGUGUAAAGGGAGCGUAGACGGCAGCACAAGUCUGAAGUGAGAUGCCGGGGCUUAACCCCGGAACUGAUGUGGAAACUGUGCAGCUAGAGUGCAGGAGAGGUAAGUGGAAUUCCUAGUGUAGCGGUGAAAUGCGUAGAUAUUAGGAGGAACACCAGUGGCGAAGGCGGCUUACUGGACUGUAACUGACGUUGAGGCUCGAAAGCGUGGGGAGCAAACAGGAUUAGAUACCCCUGUAGUC